rnacentral:lncRNA from 1 species
GUCGCGGGAGCCAAGGCUCCAGGCAGCGAAGAGGUUUGGCUGGGGUUGCUGGAGUCUGAGAAGCUGGAGACUCUCCCGGCACGCGGAGAGGAGAACCCGGGGACCCGGAGACCUGGGACAUGGCUGGGCCUGGGAAGAGAAUGGAAGAGUUUGGGAAACCCUGAGGGUAUGAGGGCGCCCCAGAUGCGGCCACGUUGCAGGGAGGCGUGCGAGGCUGGGGCACACGCAGCCUCGGAGACGACUUGAGCUGAAACUUGGGGAGUGUUGGAAGUCUUUCUUGGCUCCCCGGCCUGGCCAAGGGUAGGAUUACAGAUAGCCGCGGAGUCGGUGGACCCCCGCUUUUUCCCGCCAUCUGGUCUCCUCAGCUGGGGGUCGCGCCUCUGGGCAGAUCUGUGGCCACACUCUUGCUUUCCGAGUUCCCUGACCCCAAACAUGCUUCAGGUGACUUCAACUUAAGGUUCCCCCUACCUCCUGGGCUAUCCCUUGCAGAACGGCCAAACUAGGGCUUCUCUCUACCACAAGUUCUGCACGUGUAAGGCAGAGGGAAAUUGGAAAACAGAUGGUACAUCGGCAGAAAAAUUAAUGAGGAUAGUAGAGGCUUGGGAAAUGAGAUUGGAUCGUUAGCAGUACAGGUUAUUGAAAUCAGCAUACACUGCAGUGGUUUUGGUAACUCCCUGCCUCCGCCCCAUUUUAAGUUCUACUCCAGGAGAGGGAGACAGGCUCUUUUGAGAGUACUCUAACAGUAGCGACAGUAACACUGGUAAUAAUAGUAACAGGAAUUUCAUU